GAUGAACGCUGGCGGCGUGCCUAAUACAUGCAAGUCGAGCGAACAGACGAGGAGCUUGCUCCUCUGACGUUAGCGGCGGACGGGUGAGUAACACGUGGAUAACCUACCUAUAAGACUGGGAUAACUUCGGGAAACCGGAGCUAAUACCGGAUAAUAUAUUGAACCGCAUGGUUCAAUAGUGAAAGACGGUUUUGCUGUCACUUAUAGAUGGAUCCGCGCUGCAUUAGCUAGUUGGUAAGGUAACGGCUUACCAAGGCAACGAUGCGUAGCCGACCUGAGAGGGUGAUCGGCCACACUGGAACGGAGACACGGUCCAGACUCCUACGGGAGGCAGCAGUAGGGAAUCUUCCGCAAUGGGCGAAAGCCUGACGGAGCAACGCCGCGUGAGUGAUGAAGGUCUUCGGAUCGUAAAACUCUGUUAUUAGGGAAGAGCAAAUGUGUAAGUAACUAUGCACGUCUUGACGGUACCUAAUCAGAAAGCCACGGCUAACUACGUG
rnacentral:rRNA from 1 species